UACCGAAAGGAUUACACGUGAAACUUCACAGUGUAAACAUUAAAAAAAAAGGCGUUUAUUUUCCACUAGACCAGGAUAUCCAUCACACAGAGCUCAAAUGCAUUCCUGUGCCAACGCUGUGUUUUAGGUGACAAACGUGGGAAGUGCCCCUUUUGUAAGGAAAGGCUGCUAGCGUGAUCAGAUUGUGACUGGAGCCCUAGUGCCAAUAAACAAAGUUUGGCAAAGUCCACACCACGAAACUCUUCCCAAGUGACCUAAGCUGUGCGGAAACCCGUCCCCAAAGGUGAUGUCCUAAUGAAUCUAUCUCCUGUGCCAAAGAACCUUCUGCUUGAUAUAAGCUUUGUCAGGGGAAUGAAGUCUUCACGUUUUAAUGUCUGCGGAUUAUGGUAAUGUGCUUAACUAUAUCGAUCUGUUCAGCAUUCUGUACUUGCUUUGGCCACCAGCCAAGAAACUUCAAGAGAAGGAAGUGUCCAGAUGGUCAUAACACAGGCUGUGAAAAGGGAUCAAAGCAGCAGCACAUCAGUGUUAUUCAUGAGACGUUAGACACCACAUUCUGACGCCUCACUUAAGCCGCAAGCCUAAUGGGAAGGUGCUUCACCGGCUGCAUUAAUCCCGCCGCUCACAGAAACCGGGUGUGUGACGCCAAUGAGCACUCCUCAGCUGGCCUGCCGUCUGGAGGGCGGAGCAGUGGCUCUCCAUGGGGGGCCCCUGAGGCUCGGCCAUCCGGCCAAGGACCUCAGAAGUAGUGCAGGCUCGGGCACGUCUCCUCUGAUCCAGCCUCCACGUGCCUUCACUUUCUGACCUUGAAACCAGCAAAGACCUUCAGAGACAAGCCCACACUCACCCUUCUGUUCUCAGCGGCUUCUGGCAGCUGCCUCAGAGGAAAGAUGAGGCUGUGUGAGCUGCCGACAUUGAGCCGCCCUCUCUUCUGUGAAGGUGAUCGAAGGCUUGGCAGGACGGAGCACGUUGGGGAGCGCCUGCGCCCACCACCCCAGAUUGCCAGCCGGCAGGAGAAGAGCAGGGGACAGCAGACCCCGGUCCUGCUAGGCUGCUCAUCACAGAUGCCCCUGACACUUCACAGCUAUUAGGAUAAAAGCGGAGUCUGCCAGCCCUGGCUUCACAUGAUGGGGGAAUAAACAAUAGCUUGCAGAUUAAAUAACGCAGGAUAUUUUAUAUUCUAGUUUGACAGUUUAGCAGAAACUAAGAGCAUGAUAAAUAAAAAGGACUGCGCUCGCCUUUAAUAAAGCAAACAGACCAAGGAGCCAUUCAUUUACCAUAUGAAGGAUUUGUUUUCCAGGGCAAUCAUGCAAAAAGGCUUAGCCUAUCUUGCAGAUGAAAAACUGGCCUGACCCUAUCCUGCCCAGCUGACUGAACUUUGCAAACAGGGUUUUCAAAGUGCUCUUUUUCAAUUAAUGUUUUAAUAUUUUGAAGCUUUUCAUGGAAAUUAUAGCUCUAGCUGUUCAAGAUGACUUCAGCGACUGCCUGAUUUACAAAUGCACCCAAGCAAUGCCAAUGGCCUUUGCAAAUUAGAUUUUUAAAAUAAUUCACACGGUGGCUUUUUAAUGUACUCAAGUGCUUCCCGUAUGCCGCCUUCUAGCCUCAUUCCGAAGCACAGAUAUUUCAGAGCAUAGUGCACAUUUCAACUCUUUUUUUUAUACCUUUCCCUUUUAGAUAGCUUCAACGCUGCUUUCA